rnacentral:rRNA from 1 species
UUGCUAGAGAAGAUUAGUGGCGGACGGGUGAGUAACAUUUAGGAAUCUGCCUAGUAGUGGGGGAUAGCUCGGGGAAACUCGAAUUAAUACCGCAUACGACCUACGGGUGAAAGGGGGCGCAAGCUCUUGCUAUUAGAUGAGCCUAAAUCAGAUUAGCUAGUUGGUGGGGUAAAGGCCCACCAAGGCGACGAUCUGUAACUGGUCUGAGAGGAUGAUCAGUCACACCGGAACUGAGACACGGUCCGGACUCCUACGGGAGGCAGCAGUGGGGAAUAUUGGACAAUGGGGGCAACCCUGAUCCAGCCAUGCCGCGUGUGUGAAGAAGGCCUUUUGGUUGUAAAGCACUUUAAGCAGGGAGGAGAGGCUAAUGGUUAAUACCCAUUAGAUUAGACGUUACCUGCAGAAUAAGCACCGGCUAACUCUGUGCCAGCAGCCGCGGUAAUACAGAGGGUGCGAGCGUUAAUCGGAAUUACUGGGCGUAAAGCGAGUGUAGGUGGCUCAUUAAGUCACAUGUGAAAUCCCCGGGCUUAACCUGGGAACUGCAUGUGAUACUGGUGGUGCUAGAAUAUGUGAGAGGGAAGUAGAAUUCCAGGUGUAGCGGUGAAAUGCGUAGAGAUCUGGAGGAAUACCGAUGGCGAAGGCAGCUUCCUGGCAUAAUAUUGACACUGAGAUUCGAAAGCGUGGGUAGCAAACAGGAUUAGAUACCCUGGUAGUCCACGCCGUAAACGAUGUCUACUAGCCGUUGGGGUCCUUGAGACUUUAGUGGCGCAGUUAACGCGAUAAGUAGACCGCCUGGGGAGUACGGCCGCAAGGUUAAAACUCAAAUGAAUUGACGGGGGCCCGCACAAGCGGUGGAGCAUGUGGUUUAAUUCGAUGCAACGCGAAGAACCUUACCUGGUCUUGACAUAGUGAGAAUCCUGCAGAGAUGCGGGAGUGCCUUCGGGAAUUCACAUACAGGUGCUGCAUGGCUGUCGUCAGCUCGUGUCGUGAGAUGUUGGGUUAAGUCCCGCAACGAGCGCAACCCUUUUCCUUAUUUGCCAGCGGGUUAAGCCGGGAACUUUAAGGAUACUGCCAGUGACAAACUGGAGGAAGGCGGGGACGACGUCAAGUCAUCAUGGCCCUUACGACCAGGGCUACACACGUGCUACAAUGGUAGGUACAGAGGGUUGCUACACAGCGAUGUGAUGCUAAUCUCAAAAAGCCUAUCGUAGUCCGGAUUGGAGUCUGCAACUCGACUCCAUGAAGUCGGAAUCGCUAGUAAUCGCAGAUCAGAAUGCUGCGGUGAAUACGUUCUCCGGGCCUUGUACACACCGCCCGUCACACCAUGGGAGUCUAUUGCACCAGAAGUAUGGUAGCCUAAC